GGGCCCGUAGCUCAGCCAGGACAAGAGCGCCGGCCUGCGGAGCCGGAGGACCCGGGUUCAAAUCCCGGCGGGCCCGCCA
rnacentral:tRNA from 1 species